rnacentral:tRNA from 1 species
GGGCGCGUAGCUCAGUCCGGACAGAGCAUCGGACUUCUAAUCCGAUGGUCGUGGGUUCAAAUCCCGCCGCGCCCG